rnacentral:snRNA from 1 species
UUAGCUCUCUUUGCCUUUUGGCUUAGAUCAAGUGUAGUAGUGAGUGAAACCCGCUUCCAGCCCAGUAUUGGCAGUCAGCUGACCACUCCCCGCCACAGUCUGUUCUUUUCAGUUUAAUCUCUGAAACGAGACUACGGUCUCAUUCAAGAUUAUUCCUAUUUUUGCAACUGGGUCUCCUCUCCCUGGGCUUGCUCACAGUUGAGACCAUAGUGUCGCCAGUGUACGUUGCUCUUGGCCUCAACCAGCGCCUU